AAAACGACUCUCGGCAACGGAUAUCUCGGCUCUCGCAUCGAUGAAGAACGUAGCGAAAUGCGAUACUUGGUGUGAAUUGCAGAAUCCCGUGAACCAUCGAGUCUUUGAACGCAAGUUGCGCCUGAAGCCUCUGGGUUGAGGGCACGUCUGCCUGGGCGUCACGC
rnacentral:rRNA from 1 species